AAUGCAUUACCCAAGAAUCUUGACUAUCUAAGUGUUCUUGAUCUCAAGCACAAAGAAGGAAGAAGGCGCCAGUCACUCAAAGGCACAAUCAUCACAAGAUCGCGGUAAAUCUCAUGCUUGAUUGCGGCGCAUUCGGAGCGAACACACAAUUGUCAACCAUUAAACGCUUCCGGUUCAUGUUGUUGAUGAUGAAUGGGUCAAAAAAACUCUGUUUUGUCAUAUGAUGUUAAGUUGUGUUUAGUAUGUUAGUAAGU